CUUAGACGGGUAGCUGGUCUGAGAGGAUGGUCAGCCACACUGGAACUGAGACACGGUCCAGACUCCUACGGGAGGCAGCAGUGGGGAAUAUUGCGCAAUGUGCGGAAGCCUGACGCAGCGACGCCGCGUGAGCGAUGAAGGCCUUCGGGUCGUAAAGCUCUGUUGGAAGGUGAACGAAACAGUCCAUGGUUAAUAUCCAUGGACCCUAACGGUACUCUUCCAGAAAGCACCGGCUAACUCCGGUGCCAGCAGGCGCGGUAAUACGGAGGGGUGCUACCGUUGUACGGAAUCAUUGGGCGUACAGCGCGGGUAGGCGGGGCGGCGUGUCGGAUGUGAAAGCCCUCGGCUACAACGAGGAAUUGCAUCCGAACUUGUCGCUCUUGAGUACGGGAGAGGGAAACGGAAUUUCCAGUGUAGAAGGUGGAAAUUCGUAGAUAUUGGAAGGAACACCGGUGGCGAAGGCGGCUUCCUGGACCGAUACUGACGCUGAGACGCGAAAGCCUGGGUAGCAAACAGGAUUAGAUACCCUGGUAGUCCACGCAGUAACCGAUGAGCACUAGGUGUUNCGGGUAUCGACCCCUGCAGUGCCGAAGCCAACGCAUUAAGUGCUCCGCCUGGGGACUACGGUCGCAAGACUAAAACUCAAAGGAAUUGACGGGGGCCCGCACAAGCGGUGGAGCAUGUGGUUCAAUUCGACGCAACGCGCAGAACCUUACCCGGGCUUGACAUCCUGGGAAUCCCCGAGGAAACCGGGGAGUGCCUGCUUUGCAGGAGCCCAGUGACAGGUGCUGCAUGGCUGUCGUCAGCUCGUGUCGUGAGAUGUUGGGUUAAGUCCCGCAACGAGCGCAACCCUCGUCCUUAGUUGCCAGCAUUCAGUUGGGCACUCUAAGGAGACUGCCGGUGUUAAACCGGAGGAAGGCGAGGACGACGUCAAGUCCUCAUGGCCCUUAUGCCCGGGGCUACACACGUGCUACAAUGGCCGGUACAAUGGGCUGCGAACCUGUGAAGGGAAGCUAAUCCCAAAAAGCUGGUCUCAGUUCGGAUUGGAGUCUGCAACUCGACUCCAUGAAGGAGGAAUCGCUAGUAAUCGCGCAUCAGCAUGGCGCGCUGAAUACGUUCCCGGGCCUUGUACACACCGCCCGUCACACCACGAAAGCUAUUUGGACCAGAAGUCGGCGUUCCAACCCUUCGGGGAGGUAGUCGCCCAA
rnacentral:rRNA from 1 species